rnacentral:rRNA from 1 species
UACGUAGGGUGCGAGCGUUAAUCGGAAUUACUGGGCGUAAAGUGUGCGCAGGUGGCCGCGCAAGUCGAGUGUGAAAUCCCCGAGCUUAACUUGGGAAUUGCGCUCGAAACUACGUGGCUCGAGUGUGGCAGAGGAAGGUGGAAUUCCACGUGUAGCGGUGAAAUGCGUAGAGAUGUGGAGGAACACCGAUGGCGAAGGCAGCCUUGUGGGCAAACACUGACGCUCAUGCACGAAAG